AGUGAACGCUGGCGGUAGGCCUAACACAUGCAAGUCGAACGGCAGCACAGUAAGAGCUUGCUCUUACGGGUGGCGAGUGGCGGACGGGUGAGGAAUACAUCGGAAUCUACUUUUUCGUGGGGGAUAACGUAGGGAAACUUACGCUAAUACCGCAUCCGACCUACGGUUGAAAGCAGUGGAUCUUCGGACCUUGCGCGAUUGAAUGAGCCGAUGUCGGAUUAGCUAGUUGGCGGGGUAAAGGCCCACCAAGGCGACGAUCCGUAGCUGGUCUGAGAGGAUGAUCAGCCACACUGGAACUGAGACACGGUCCAGACUCCUACGGGAGGCAGCAGUGGGGAAUAUUGGACAAAGGGCGCAAGCCUGAUCCAGCCGUACCGCGUGGGUGAAGAAGGCCUUCGGGUUGUAAAGCCCUUUUGUUGGGAAAGAAAAGCAGCAGGUUAAUACCCCGCUGUUCUGACGGUACCCAAAGAAUAAGCACCGGCUAACUUCGUG
rnacentral:rRNA from 1 species